AAUAUGGGACCGGAGCGCAGCUGAUGCAGCCAUGCCGCGUGAGUGAUGAAGGCCCUAGGGUUGUAAAGCUCUUUUGUGCGGGACGAUAAUGACGGUACCGCACGAAUAAGCCCCGGCUAACUUCGUGCCAGCAGCCGCGGUAAUAGUAAUA
rnacentral:rRNA from 1 species